rnacentral:rRNA from 1 species
AUUCCCGGGAGCCUAAACAUGCGAGUCGAGCGGUAACAGAGAGUAGCUUGCUACUUUGCUGACGAGCGGCGGACGGGUGAGUAAUGCUUGGGAACAUGCCUUGAGGUGGGGGACAACAGUUGGAAACGACUGCUAAUACCGCAUAAUGUCUACGGACCAAAGGGGGCUUCGGCUCUCGCCUUUAGAUUGGCCCAAGUGGGAUUAGCUAGUUGGUGAGGUAAUGGCUCACCAAGGCGACGAUCCCUAGCUGGUUUGAGAGGAUGAUCAGCCACACUGGGACUGAGACACGGCCCAGACUCCUACGGGAGGCAGCAGUGGGGAAUAUUGCACAAUGGGCGCAAGCCUGAUGCAGCCAUGCCGCGUGUGUGAAGAAGGCCUUCGGGUUGUAAAGCACUUUCAGUCAGGAGGAAAGGUUAACGGUUAAUACCCGUUAGCUGUGACGUUACUGACAGAAGAAGCACCGGCUAACUCCGUGCCAGCAGCCGCGGUAAUACGGAGGGUGCGAGCGUUAAUCGGAAUUACUGGGCGUAAAGCGUACGCAGGCGGUUUGUUAAGCGAGAUGUGAAAGCCCCGGGCUCAACCUGGGAACUGCAUUUCGAACUGGCAAACUAGAGUGUGAUAGAGGGUGGUAGAAUUUCAGGUGUAGCGGUGAAAUGCGUAGAGAUCUGAAGGAAUACCGAUGGCGAAGGCAGCCACCUGGGUCAACACUGACGCUCAUGUACGAAAGCGCGGAGAGCAAACGGGAUUAGAUACCCCGGUAGUCCACGCCGUAAACGAUGUCUACUAGAAGCUCGGAGCCUCUGUUCUGUUUUCAAAGCUAACGCAUUAAGUAGACCGCCUGGGGAGUACGGCCGCAAGGUUAAAACUCAAAUGAAUUGACAGCGGCCCGCCCAGCGGUGGAACAUGGGGUUAAUUCGAUGUAACGCGAAUCACUUUAGCUAACUUGGUGUACAGAUACUGUACCAGAAAUGGGUUGUUGCCCUCCGGAAUCUGAUACGGGAGCUGCAUGGCUGUCCUCGCCUCUGUGUUAACUGUUGUUUAACUACUGCAAGAUUUAUACUCC